rnacentral:sRNA from 1 species
GGGAUUACAGGCGUGAGCCACCGCACCCGGUGAAACUCCAUCUCAAAAAAAAAAAGAAGGAAAGGAAAGGAAACAGACCUGUGUGCUCUAGCAGGGUGUUUUCCUCUGCCUGUUCUGCUCAGAGCCUUGGAAGAAAGUAAACUAUGAUGGGGGUGGCACAGGCCUCAAUCAUCUCCUUUUGGGGCUUGAGAGGGACACGGAAAGGCCUUCCCACUAUUUGUUUCUGGUCCUCCUCUUCGUUCUCUUAUGCAGGUGAUUGUGAUGUCAGCUACGAUGGAUGUGGACCUGUUCUCUCAGUAUUUCAAUGGCGCCCCCGUCCUCUACCUAGAGGGUCGGCAGCAUCCGAUCCAGGUGUUUUACACCAAACAGCCUCAGAAUGAUUACCUGCACGCCGCGCUUGUCUCCGUCUUCCAGAUCCACCAGGAAGCCCCUUCUUCACAGGACAUCCUGGUGUUCCUCACUGGGCAGGAGGAGAUCGAAGCCAUGAGCAAGACGUGCCGAGACAUUGCAAAGCACCUCCCAGACGGCUGCCCUGCGAUGCUGGUCCUUCCUCUAUAUGCCUCCCUGCCCUAUGCACAGCAGCUCCGAGUCUUCCAAGGGGCCCCAAAGGGCUAUCGCAAAGUGAUCAUUUCAACCAACAUCGCUGAAACCUCCAUAACCAUUACAGGAAUAAAAUAUGUAGUUGACACGGGCAUCGUUAAAGCAAAGAAGUAUAACCCUGACAGUGGUCUUGAGGUGUUAGCAGUGCAGCGGGUAUCGAAGACGCAGGCUUGGCAGCGCACAGGGAGGGCUGGCAGAGAGGACAGUGGCAUCUGCUACCGGCUCUACACGGAGGACGAGUUUGAGAAGUUUGAUAAGAUGACCGUGCCAGAGAUCCAGAGGUGUAACCUGGCCAGUGUGAUGCUUCAGCUUCUAGCAAUGAAAGUCCCAAAUGUGCUCACCUUUGACUUCAUGUCCAAGCCAUCUCCAGAUCACAUUCAGGCGGCCAUUGCCCAACUGGACCUGUUAGGUGCUCUUGAACAUAAGGAUGACCAGCUUACCCUGACUCCAAUGGGAAGAAAGAUGGCAGCAUUUCCUUUAGAACCCAAAUUUGCCAAAACCAUCCUCAUGUCCCCCAAAUUCCACUGUACAGAGGAGAUCCUGACCAUUGUCUCCCUGCUGUCUGUGGACAGCGUCCUCCACAACCCUCCUUCCCGGCGAGAGGAAGUGCAAGGGGUCCGCAAGAAGUUCAUAUCCAGCGAGGGGGAUCACAUGACCCUGCUCAAUAUCUAUCGGACCUUCAAAAACCUAGGCGGAAAUAAGGAUUGGUGCAAAGAGAAUUUUGUCAACAGCAAGAAUAUGAUGCUGGUAGCAGAAGUCAGAGCACAGCUGAGGGACAUCUGCUUAAAGAUGUCAAUGCCAAUCGCAUCAUCCCGAGGAGACGUGGAGAGUGUCCGCCGCUGCCUGGCUCACAGCCUCUUCAUGAGCACCGCCGAGCUUCAGCCAGACGGCACCUAUGCCACCACGGACACCCACCAGCCAGUGGCCAUCCACCCGUCGUCUGUCCUCUUCCACUGCAAGCCGGCCUGCGUCGUGUACACUGAGCUGCUCUACACCAACAAGUGCUACAUGCGGGACCUCUGCGUCAUAGAUGCAGAGUGGCUGUACGAGGCUGCCCCUGAGCACUUUAGGAGGAAGCUGAGAACCGCCAGAAACUGAGCCGCCCCAGGAUGCCGCCAGAAUCACUGGUCCCUGGGAGCUUGGACUACAGUUGUCCUCACAGCAGGCUUCCAGGUUGGCGCUUAGAGAAGCCUUGGAAUCAGCUGAAGGUGCCUGACUUCCAGGAGCGUGAAAGCAUCUUUGCUCAACUCCUGGGACUGAACCAUGUAGACAUGAACAUAUCAUUUGUACCUGGAAACCUCAAAAUUAUGCUUUUGGUUCUUACUGGGUGACUUUGACUUAAUUAACACCUGAGCCUCAGUUUUCUCAUCUGCCAAAUGGGAGUAAUAAUAAUAAUCCUUAUAAAAUUGGGUGCAUAAAGUUUAGAGAAAAGGAAUGGAAAGUACCCAGAACUAUGCCUGGAGCACGACACACGUACAGUGAGUUGGGAGCCGUUAGGCUGAAUGUUACUGCUUUCGAUAUGAUGUGAAGUACAGCAAUAUCCCAAGUUCUUGUGACUGAGGGAGAUUUUCUGGAAGGGCCACAGGAGGUUGCGGAGCUUGGAUGUUGCCCUUAGUUCUUGUUUAAUGUCUCUCUGAAUGCAGUUUUAAAAUAGAAAACAAAACUGACUUCUGUAGAAGUUUCCAGAGGGAGGUGCUGUUAUCUCGUACCUCCUGGGAUGGCGAUCCCUACUGAACGCUUGUGUCUCAGGGUGGACCGCUCUGUGUCUGUCUCCAAGCAGAGACCAGUAAAGGAGCCUCCUGGUCCUCG